GCUAACGUAGCACAACAUGGCCAUGCGAAAGAUCUAAGCCCUUUCUACAGAAGUUCAAGUCUUCUCGCUAGCU
rnacentral:tRNA from 1 species